UACGUAGGGUGCGAGCGUUGUCCGGAAUUAUUGGGCGUAAAGAGCUCGUAGGCGGUUUGUCGCGUCGAAUGUGAAAUCCCGGGGCUCAACCCCGGGCCUGCAUUCGAUACGGGCAGACUAGAGUUCGGUAGGGGAGUCUGGAAUUCCUGGUGUAGCGGUGAAAUGCGCAGAUAUCAGGAGGAACACCGGUGGCGAAGGCGGGUCUCUGGGCAACAACUGACGCUGAGGAGCGAAAGCGUGGGGAGCGAACAGG
rnacentral:rRNA from 1 species